rnacentral:tRNA from 1 species
GCCUCAUUAGCUCAGUGGUUAGAGCACUGGUCUUGUAAACCAGGGGUCCGGUGUUCAAUUCUCUGAUGGGACU